rnacentral:rRNA from 1 species
AUCUUGGACAAUGGGCGCAAGCCUGAUCCAGCCAUGCCGCGUGAGUGAUGAAGGCCUUAGGGUUGUAAAGCUCUUUCGCCAGGGAAGAUAAUGACUGUACCUGGAUAAGAAGCCCCGGCUAACUCCGUGCCAGCAGCCGCGGUAAUACGGAGGGAGCUAGCGUUGUUCGGAAUUACUGGGCGUAAAGCGCACGUAGGCGGCUUUGUAAGUUAGAGGUGAAAGCCCGGGGCUCAACCCCGGAAUUGCCUUUAAGACUGCAUCGCUUGAAUCCAGGAGAGGUGAGUGGAAUUCCGAGUGUAGAGGUGAAAUUCGUAGAUAUUCGGAAGAACACCAGUGGCGAAGGCGGCUCACUGGACUGGUAUUGACGCUGAGGUGCGAAAGCGUGGGGAGCAA